CCUAGGGCGGCUGCAGUGGGGAAUAUUGGACAAUGGGCGAAAGCCUGAUCCAGCCAUGCCGCGUGUGUGAAGAAGGCCUUCGGGUUGUAAAGCACUUUCAGUGGGGAAGAAAGCCUUGGGGCUAAUACCCUCGAGGAAGGACAUCACCCACAGAAGAAGCACCGGCUAACUCCGUGCCAGCAGCCGCGGUAAUACGGAGGGUGCGAGCGUUAAUCGGAAUUACUGGGCGUAAAGCGCGCGUAGGCGGUCUGAUAAGCCGGUUGUGAAAGCCCCGGGCUCAACCUGGGAACGGCAUCCGGAACUGUCAGGCUAGAGUGCAGGAGAGGAAGGUAGAAUUCCCGGUGUAGCGGUGAAAUGCGUAGAGAUCGGGAGGAAUACCAGUGGCGAAGGCGGCCUUCUGGACUGACACUGACGCUGAGGUGCGAAAGCGUGGGUAGCAAACAGGAUUAGAUACCCCAGUAGUC
rnacentral:rRNA from 1 species